AUGGAAGGGCUGAUCCCGUUCGUGAUCGACGCGAUCAGGAAGAGCCACGCGAGGGACAGCUACCGCUGCGCCUCCUCGGACGGCAGCUCCCACGGGGGCAGCGGCAGCAGGCGGCACCUCAUAGACUACCGGGAGCUGCCGGCCGGAGCGGCCGACGCCGACGCCAUCCGCCACCAAGGCCCGUGGUCGGAGUUUAUCCAGGCGCCGGCCGACGUGCGUCCUUCCGAGGAGCACGCCCGGCCGGCCGCCGCGGUCGCCGGGUCGGCUUAUCGCUGGAAAUGA
rnacentral:rRNA from 1 species